AUACCUUUCUCGGCCUUUUGGCUAAGAUCAAGUGUAGUAUCUGUUCUUAUCAGUUUAAUAUCUGAUACGUGGGCCAAUGGUCCACACGAUAUUAAAUUUAUUUUUUGAGGAGGAGAGUCCAUCACAGUAGCUUGCUACUGGGAAUCUCGAGCGUCGCCCAAGUGUUGCACUAUUUCUCGGGCCUGGCGCACUCCGA
rfam:Gossypium raimondii Chr01_contig_38, whole genome shotgun sequence.